GCGUUUUUAGUCGUUUUGUGGAUCCGUGUGAAUGGGGAUCGUUUUGACAACGUUGACAACGUUGUACAUUGUUGUUGUGUAAACGUACCCUACAUUUUGCAGAGCAAUGGUAAAUGUGAACGCGCCUUUACACUUGUAUAGCACUUCAGCCCAUUUCAUCAAACACACCAUCUCCCAACAUACUUAUUUCCAUCCAAAGGAAGAGAUAGUAACAGAGGGUAUGUAAGGUGAGGGCUCCCAGAGGCAGUGUCGAUGUCUAAUCCACUUAUCCUAUACUCUUGUAUCCCACACCGUAGAUCCCAGCAGAACCCUUUAGAUUCCCAGGAGAAGAUUGCUUAUGUGGAGGAUGUGAUCAUGUUCCCUUUUGGUGGGAAUGUCUGAAAUCUAUACCAUCACUUGUGAUGUAAAGUCUCUUGUUCUCCUCGCCCUCAAGUGUGGGAGGUUCUUUUAAUGCAUGGGUUUGUGAAAAGGGAAAUCAUGUCAGACUUUCACUUGAGCAUCCUCCCCUCCCCCAUUCUUGCCUCUUUUUUCUCUUCUCUCUUCUCCUUCUUUACCAUCUAUAUAAUCAGCCCACCUUCCUUUCUCUUCAUAAUGGGGAUGAGUUGUAUAUCUUCGUUAUGGAUGUGUAGUUGCUUAACUGGGAUUAACCAUUCUUCUGUCUAUACCAUCAGCUUUGGAGAGAGAUGAAAAAGUGAUAAUAUAUGCAAAGAGAAGACUUUCUCACCUUCACAUCUCCAUACAUCUGUUCACACUAUUUAUCAGUGUUGAGAAGAAGCAAACUACAAGUAGUUAAGAACUUAAUUACUUUCAGUAGUGCAGCUGUUUUCAUAAUAUUAGCUUUUCUAGUAACAAGGUAUUAAAGUGUUAGUUCACCCAAAAAUAAAAAU